rnacentral:lncRNA from 1 species
GAGCAAUUUUUUUUUGCUAAACUUCAGGAUUUAACUCAUUCUUCUUCUUGUUCAAGUGGUUGCUGAUUCUGAAAUCUCUUCUUCAAUAACUUAGGUCUUGGUUUCAUAGGCUUCAAGUACUUAGAUUGAAAUCUAACCAUCUCUUUCAAAACACUAAUCAGCUUCCUCUCUAUUUCUUCACCGUCAGGUUCAAUAGCUCCUAAGCACCGUGCCACAGCCUCCGCCGUAGUUACACAUCCUCCGAAUGGUUCCUUCCUUAGCACAAGCUCUGAAUCGUAGAUGGUUCCUCCACUCACUGAUGCGUCUAUUUCCGUAUCCAAAC